rnacentral:lncRNA from 9 species
CUACUCUUGAUGGAUAUUUGGGUUUUUACCAGUUUUUAAGCUAUUAUAAAUGAAAGUGCUAUGAGUACUGCUGUACAUGCUUCUUGGCACAUAUGUGCAUACAUUUCUAUUGGGAGUAGAAAUGCUGGGUCAUAGAGUAUGUGGAUAUUCAACUUUAAUAGAUAAUGCCAAUUUUUCUUCUUACGACCUUUCUUAUCUUGGACCCCAGAAACUCUGAAUACAGUUGAACCCAGCAUUUUAACAUAAACUCUCCAGAAGUCUGAAUCUCAUGCCUUUGAUUUCAAGCUUUUCUUUUAAGAAUUCGGCUCUAGGUGGAGAGCACAGUAAAAACCCAUGAGAUGUACUCUUAACUGGCAUGUAGUGUAGACAUACAGUUUACACACACACACACACACGAAAGAAAAAGAAAGAAGGAAAAAAGAAAAAAAAACAAAACCCCAAACCCUUCAAGUCUCCUGCUCCAGCCUUACUCAUAUAAUGCAGAAAGAACAACGAGACUGCCAUGAAAGCAGUUGGAUUAAGGGGGGCAAAAGCGGUGAUCUAGGAGGCUCUUUGGGAUCAGCGUCUACAUCGCCCAGAGAGGUGAGAUCUGUUAGCUGUUUAAGCUCGACUGCGAGGUGGUCCUAGAGCUGCUUCUGGAAGGACGAAAAGCGCCGGGUGGGCGCCGGCAGGUGGGUUGAAUCCUCCAGGGCCCAGACCAGGGGGCGGGGAGAAAGUGGGCGCGCGGCUCGGCUCGUUGCUGGGCGACGGAACCCGUUCUCCUUACCUGAGCGGUGGCUCCCACCCGCCCGGCCGCUCGGCCCUGGAAAGGCGGGUAGGGUUUUUGGUCCCGCCGCCGAGGUGCCAACUUCCCCGCCACCUGAAUGGGAGCAGAGGCAUCCCCAGAGGCGGAUUAAGCAAGUCCAAGAUGGAAAGAUAAAACAUGGGGAGAAGAAAAAGGCAGGGAGGGUGAGUGUUUUUGUUGUUCCAUUACCCUAUUAUGUAUUUGCAUAUGCAUGUAUUUUUGUAUGUGUAGAUGUGUAUUCCUAGGUAAUGGUUAUAAAAAAUUGAAUAGGAAGUUUU